CUCUUCCCAACCCACCAAAUGCAUGCUCCAGGACCGGCAACACUCCACGUCGUCAGCGAAGAUCCGAAUCCCGCCCCAAGCAAAUCAGCGCACGCCUGUAUUAUUCAUCCCCAUCCACCUCUGCUGCUCUACAAAGAACCUCUCGGCCGCGGCCUCUCGGAGCCCCGAAGGCCACUCUGUCUCGCGCUCUUCUCUCUCUGCCCCUCUGGUUCCCAACCAAGAAAGAGCGACGACGGCGACACGCCUAGGUAGACGGAACGGAACCGGUUGCGUGCUGUACGGGGCAUGGGGCUCCUCGACCAGCUCUGGGACGAAACGGUCGCCGGCCCGCGGCCGGACCACGGCCUCGGCAGGCUCCGCAAGUACUCCUCCUUCUCGACCUCCACCCCGGCGGCCGCGGACGUCGCGCCGGCGGUGACCCGCAGCAUCACCAUCGCCCGGCCACCGUCCCUCUCUCUCCCGUCCGGCGAAUCAAACUCCGUGCCGUCAUCACCGGCCAGUGGGCCGGACUCUCCGUUGGCAGCAGCGUUGAUCGACCGUGAACGCUUCUGUUGGAUUGGAUCUGCGAUGUGUCGAUUCGUUGGUAUCCCAUGAAAAUGGGGCAAGAAAAACAUGGACCUUUUGCUUUAGCAUGGCUUGUCCCCGGGGCGCGAAGCAGCCACAGAAUCAGAUCUGUGAGCAGUCCCAGAGACCCAGACGCAGAGAUGUCGGGAAAUUUGCUGUUGAACCUGAAAUUCCCCUCAUUAAAUUGAUGUUCUAUCUGAAACUUUAUGCUGCAGCUACCAGUAGCACGGCGAGGGUGGACGGCUGGAGGGCGUUCCGCCCGAAAUCCAAGAUGGCCAACGUCGACGUCGUCCAGUCGGAGGCCACCGUCGGGCCCAGGAGCCCCACCGUGUACGACUGGGUGGUGAUCAGUUCAUUGGACCGAUGAAGCAGCACGCCCAAGGUACGAAAUAAUCGACCGGAUGAAGCAGAGGAGCUUAGCUGGUGUAUUUGAGGCCGUGUGUUCGUCAUCUCAUAUGCAUACCUGCUACUGUGUAAUCGUUGUGUUAAUUAGAUGCACUUUUCUUCUUCUCUUUUUUAUGUAGUUGUGCGUCCCUUCGGGCUGCGAAAGUAUGUGAUGUAGUUAGCAGUAGCUCUGGUUGAGGCAAUCGAGAUGUGUUGCCUUCACGGGGCACCUUUUGGUGUGUGUGUAUGUGGAGGAGAUGAGCUCUUAAAUGAGGAUGCAAUGCAACUGUUCAAUCAUGCUUCGUUUUCU
rnacentral:rRNA from 1 species